UAAAGGUUUGGUCCCAGCCUUCCUAUUAAUUAUUAGCAAAUUUACACAUGCAAGUAUCCGCAUCCCUGUGAGAAUACCCUCUAAAUCACAAUACAAGAUUAAAAGGAGUAGGUAUCAAGUACACUCAUAUUAUGAGUAGCUAACCACACCUUGCUUAGCCACACCCCCACGGGAAACAGCAGUGAUAAAAAUUAAGCUAUGAACGAAAGUUCGACUAAGUUAUGCUAAUCUUUUAGGGUUGGUAAAUUUCGUGCCAGCCACCGCGGUCAUACGAUUAACCCAAAUUAAUAGGCAACGGCGUAAAGCGUGUUAAAGAACCCUAAAACAAAAUAAAGAUAAAACCUAACUAGGCUGUAGAAAGCAAUAGUUAAAUUUAAAAUAAACCACGAAAGUGACUUUAUUACCUCUGAUUACACGAUAGCUAAGACCCAAACUGGGAUUAGAUACCCCACUAUGCUUAGCCCUAAACUUAGGUAAUUAAACUAACAAAAAUACUCGCCAGAGGACUACUAGCAAUAGCUUAAAACUCAAAGGACUUGGCGGUGCUUUAUAUCCAUCUAGAGGAGCCUGUUCUAUAAUCGAUACACCCCGAUAAACCUCACCAUCCCUUGCUAAUUCAGCCUAUAUACCGCCAUCUUCAGCAAACCCUUAAAAGGAGGAAUAGUAAGCUCAAGUAUUUUACAUAAAAACGUUAGGUCAAGGUGUAGCUAAUGAGAUGGGAAGAAAUGGGCUACAUUUUCUAUUACUAGAACAUACGAAAGUUUCUAUGAAAUUAGAAACUAAAGGAGGAUUUAGUAGUAAGUUAAGAAUAGAGUGCUUAACUGAACCAGGCCAUGAAGCACGCACACACCGCCCGUCACCCUCCUCAAGUAUUCAAAAUAUUACUGAUUUCUAAUCCCAAAUAAAUUAAUAUUAGAGGAGAUAAGUCGUAACAAGGUAAGCAUACUGGAAAGUGUGCUUGGACAAAU
rnacentral:ncRNA from 1 species